AGCAGCGUCAGUCCCCAUCCGCUUGAUAUCUCCGGCGGAGUCAAAGCUGUGCAGAAGUACUUCCCCUGCCCCCUGGUGUACCACGACGACAGUUAUAACCAAAGCAAAGUGACAGACUACUUCAGCAUAGAGAGCCGACAGCAAGUGCCCGCCGUCACUUGAUAAUACGGGUAGAGCGUUUGCGCGCCGCUUGCGACCCGAUCUUGGUACGAUCCUGAGAAAACUACAGGGGACUGUAACAAAAGCAAAAAAAAAAAAAAACUGUAGAUUGUACUGGGUGAAUCCACGUAAAAGUAACGUGAGUCACGACUUUUCUUUUUCAACCUAGCGUUUUCCCGGCCUAGCGCCAGGGUCCGCUUUCCUGCUCAGUCUUCUCCACUUUGCCCGUUCGACAUCCUUAGGUGUGAGAUUGACCUUAGGUGUGAGAUUGACUCCUGAGGUGUGAUUGAUUGAUUCUCUUGCAUAUCCGCAACCACGACGUCCAGCCAGCGCUUCUGAGGCCUACCGGGGCCACGUGACUUUUAUUAUUAUUUAUUUGAACUACAAAUGAAAGGAUCCAUGCAUAUUUCGGGAAGUAACACUUAUUUAGAGAUAGAUUACCACUUGAACUUACAUCGUGAAUAAAUUGAACAUGCCAUAAAAUCGUGACUCAUGUUACUCUAGUCGCAGAUUGUCCCUACUCCCUAAACUGACCAACAUUUGGUUAGCGACUUAAAAAUUAUGAAUUCUGUAAUUUUUCAUACAAAAUAAAUAUUCGCUUCAAUGUACGCCAUUAUUGUUGUGAGACUUAGUUCGCAUUAUAUUACCUCUUAGGAAAAACUGUCAUGGGUGCUAAAAAUCAAAAUAAAAGUUAUUUUUAAAAGCCGCUGAACAAAAAUUGGUCAUUAUAAGGAGUAUAGCCUACAGUUAAAUUUUUUGCUUUUGUUACAGGCCCUAUCCAGUGUAACGCUUUUAUUUUAUACUAAAACCCCUUUUGGCAGACUAAGGCCUUUGCUUAAGCAGUGUUCGUUUCAUUGUCUAAAGUAGAUGUAACGUUGUUUCCUUUAAAUUGGAUAUUGUGUGUGUGACGUCAUAUUAUUGCGUCUCAACAAAUCAUCCUGUUUGAACAUAAGGCCAUUUGUGAAAAAAAAGCUAGGUUUAUUAUUUAUUUCAUAGGAAUCACAUAGUUUUCUGUCAUACCAUUUAAAGAUACCGGAAACGGUCUUAACAGUGCGCAAACGCUCCUAUUUCGACUAGACAUUCGAUACAGUAUUGUUAGUAUUUUGUAAGUGCCAUGAGACUGUGAUUUUUGAUAUUGUUAGUUUUAAAUCUUUUUUAUAAAGGGUUGUGUUCAGUUAGUAAUAAAAAUUGUUAAAAUCUA